UAAGUAAGUGGUGGAAAUUAAACCAAAUGGGAUAUCUUUAGUAAUUGCGAAUGAACAAGGAUAUGCUUAGCUUGACAAAUGGAGCUAUUGGCUUUGAAUUGUAUUUGUGGAAUGUAUUACCAACAGAGGUGCAGGUGCCAGCCUAUUAAAUAAAGCGUCAAUGAGGGUGAGAAUCCUGUUUGUCAUGUGCAGCCCUUUGUGCACGGUGUAUAUUUGCUGAGUCACACUCCUUGGCAUUGGAAUGCAAAGUGGGUGGUAAGUUUCAUGUACAGGUAAACAUGCAAUUGAGACUGAUAGCACACAAGUACCAUGAGGGAAAUAUGAAAAGGACUUUGAAAAGAGAAUUAAAUGAGUUUGUAUUUGCUGAACACAAAGUAAACAGACUUGAUUUGCUUGGUGGGAGUGUUGCACUUGCUUGACAAGAGCUUUGGGCUGUGGGUGUAAUGAUUCUUUCUUUGCAUGCCAGUUUCUAUGUGUACAUCUGAUUACCUUUGCACAUGAAUGAUAAGUCUCCUGUGGGGGGUGGAUUGCAUGUGCAUGUAAUGAUUUGUGUUUUGAUAAAUGUGUCUGGUGUAUGUGUGUGUUCCUGUGCUUGGGGAUGCUUCCUUCCUUGGACUUACAAGCCCUGACACACACAUGCUGGCAAAAUGCUUCUGCUUGACCCG
rnacentral:rRNA from 1 species